rnacentral:rRNA from 1 species
UACGUAGGGGGCAAGCGUUGUCCGGAAUCAUUGGGCGUAAAGCGCGUGUAGGCGGCCAGAUAGGUCCGUUGUGAAAACUGGAGGCUUAACCUCCAGCGGUCGAUGGAAACCAUUUGGCUAGAGUCCGGAAGAGGAGAGUGGAAUUCCUGGUGUAGCGGUGAAAUGCGCAGAUAUCAGGAAGAACACCCGUGGCGAAGGCGGCUCUCUGGGACGGUACUGACGCUGAGACGCGAAAGCGUGGGGAGCGAACAGG